UGCCAGCCGCCGCGGUAAUACGAAGGGGGCAAGCGUUGUUCGGAAUUACUGGGCGUAAAGGGCGUGUAGGCGGAUCGUUUAGUUGGGGGUGAAAUCCCGGGGCUCAACCUCGGAACUGCCUCCAAUACUGGCGAUCUUGAGUCUGUGAGAGGGUGGCGGAAUACCCAGUGUAGAGGUGAAAUUCGUAGAUAUUGGGUAGAACACCAGUGGCGAAGGCGGCCACCUGGCACAGUACUGACGCUGAGGCGCGAAAGCGUGGGGAGCAAACAGGAUUAGAUA
rnacentral:rRNA from 1 species